AGAGUUUGAUCCUGGCUCAGGAUGAACGCUAGCUACAGGCUUAACACAUGCAAGUCGAGGGGAAACGAUAGAGAAAGCUUGCUUUUUCUAGGCGUCGACCGGCGCACGGGUGAGUAACGCGUAUCCAACCUGCCCACCACUUGGGGAUAACCUUGCGAAAGUAAGACUAAUACCCAAUGAUAUCUCAAGAAGACAUCUGAAUGAGAUUAAAGAUUUAUCGGUGAUGGAUGGGGAUGCGUCUGAUUAGCUUGUUGGCGGGGUAACGGCCCACCAAGGCGACGAUCAGUAGGGGUUCUGAGAGGAAGGUCCCCCACAUUGGAACUGAGACACGGUCCAAACUCCUACGGGAGGCAGCAGUGAGGAAUAUUGGUCAAUGGACGAGAGUCUGAACCAGCCAAGUAGCGUGCAGGAUGACGGCCCUAUGGGUUGUAAACUGCUUUUAUAAGGGAAUAAAGUGAGUCUCGUGAGACUUUUUGCAUGUACCUUAUGAAUAAGGACCGGCUAAUUCCGUGCCAGCAGCCGCGGUAAUACGGAAGGUCCGGGCGUUAUCCGGAUUUAUUGGGUUUAAAGGGAGCGUAGGCCGGAGAUUAAGCGUGUUGUGAAAUGUAGAUGCUCAACAUCUGCACUGCAGCGCGAACUGGUUUCCUUGAGUACGCACAAAGUGGGCGGAAUUCGUGGUGUAGCGGUGAAAUGCUUAGAUAUCACGAAGAACUCCGAUUGCGAAGGCAGCUCACUGGAGCGCAACUGACGCUGAAGCUCGAAAGUGCGGGUAUCGAACAGGAUUAGAUACCCUGGUAGUCCGCACGGUAAACGAUGGAUGCCCGCUGUUGGUCUGAAUAGGUCAGCGGCCAAGCGAAAGCAUUAAGCAUCCCACCUGGGGAGUACGCCGGCAACGGUGAAACUCAAAGGAAUUGACG
rnacentral:rRNA from 1 species